AUACGGAGGAUCCGAGCGUUAUCCGGAUUUAUUGGGUUUAAAGGGAGCGUAGGUGGAUUGUUAAGUCAGUUGUGAAAGUUUGCGGCUCAACCGUAAAAUUGCAGUUGAAACUGGCAGUCUUGAGUACAGUAGAGGUGGGCGGAAUUCGUGGUGUCGCGGUGAAAUGCUUAGAUAUCACGAAGAACUCCGAUUGCGAAGGCAGCUCACUAGACUGCAACUGACACUGAUGCUCGAAAGUGUGGGUAUCAAACAGGAUUAGAUACCCUGGUAGUCCACACAGUAAACGAUGAAUACUCGCUGUUUGCGAUAUACAGUAAGCGGCCAAGCGAAAGCAUUAAGUAUUCCACCUGGGGAGUACGCCGGCAACGGUGAAACUCAAAUGAAUUGGCGGGG
rnacentral:rRNA from 1 species